UCGAAUCCAGCAUCCAGACAAGCCGAUAGAGGAGAUAGAAAGAAAAUACAUGUGUCCAUACAUGGAGCACGGGCUCUCGCCUCCUCUCUCACUCGCCGCCGCCACCACCCACAUCGGCCGCUUCUCCGGUGACCUCCGGCGCCGUGCAGCACGCCCCCGAGCUCCCCACGGUCCACGCCACCCUCCCCUCCGGCCAGAGUCUCUGCUCCCGUCCUCUACCGCCCGCUCGCAAGCCAAUCCCCCAUGGCUAGGGUUUCGGGUUUUUUAGGGGAUAAACAAGGGGAGGUAUAGCAGGGCGUUGGAAAUUUGCGGGAGUGGGGGAGAUCGAUGAGGACGAGGACUGUCUGGUGCACUGCUGGUGCGGGGAGGGCAGGGGAGAGGGAUGGCUGUUGCGCUGCUAUUAGCUGCAUAUAGUAUUGCUCCUUUCCUGUUGUUUGUUGAUUGAUGCUGCUGCUGCUACUACUUUGAUGCAGUUGCUGCUAAUUUGAUGUGGAGGACGUGCAGGGACGGACGACAAGCGAGCAGAGAUUUAUCCGGGACCUAAAUUUGGCAGGUAAAAAUUGGUCUAUUUGCCGCUAGCUGGCUUCAUGUGAUGCUAUAGUGUGCUAUGGAGAGGUACAGAGGUUAUUUUACAGGACCAUGAAGGUUCAUGAUUGGCAAUUGAUCUUGGGCUAUUGGCUUAUUAUGAUCAAAACUAAGAGUAUAUGCGCCACUUUUAGUGGUCUUGCGGAGUUGGAAUGUAAUGCUUCACUAUAAUUGCUUUACCGAAUCUACAGACUAAGAAAAUUUCUAUUUCUUGUGUCAGGCAAAUGGGUGAGCUCCCACAUCCCUCUCGGUCUCCUUUGAUUUGUUGCAGAUUUCUUCGAAGCCCAUGACCUCUCUUGGGCCUUGGCAGUGGCGAGCUAGGUGCCGGCGAGGUAGGCGACAUCGUCAACGAGGGCCAUCAUGGCCUCCACCUAUGCCCUCUUGCAGGUGGACUGCUGGUCAUCGGUGCAGCGGGUCGGGCUCUUGCAGCAACAUCUAUGAUAUUCUCUGGACGAGCUGCAGGUAGGCCAGUAGAUGAGGAUUCGACGGCCACCACCGAGGUAUGACCUCCUCUCCUUGCCCUUGGGCUGGCAUCUCUGAUCAGGUUGUAAUCUGCUGCUGUAGUGUUGCUCUUUGGGGAUUCCUAUGGGAUCUAUUUUUGAUUGGUCAAAGCUGGUAUGUUGGCCACUGGUUGGUUUAACAUGAUGCUAUAAUGCGCUACAGAGAGAUAUGUUAUUCUAGUACAAGUGUCCGGUCAGUUAAUUUGAGGAUUUUUGCCUUUUGUUCUUCAGGCCUAUAGCUUUGUGGUUUCAGUCCAACAGUUAAAAGUUGGAUUGGCUUGUAAAAAUUUAUGUGACUGGACGAGUAGGUGAGGAUGAUCUCAUAUGGAAAAUACUGCUCCAUGGUAUUAAAAUCUGUUAUAGGUGUUGGAAGUCAAUGCUAGGAGCUCCUGGGAUCUGCUCAUGCAUGUUUGGUCGGAACUUUUCUUUUGAAUCAAUUGAUGAACCGAUGGCAUCAGAUAUGCCGUAUGUGUACUCCACUACGUACGACCGGGUGAAAACAAGUUUGAUCGAUGGAGAUGGAUUUCUAUCCUGUUGGUGCAAUUGUAUGUUCAGGUGGUUCUUUCAUGUCCGUUCUCUCUAGCUUCUUGAUGUUUUCUUUCUCAGGUGUAAUUUAGUUGCCAUUUGUAAUAGCCAAAUUUUCAUGUCAAACAUGAUUUAAAGAUUUUCUAUGCCAGUUGACAUGUCAUUUAUUUUCUAAACAGCCUAUUGUUGAUGGUGUUUGA